CGGGGUGUAGCUCAGACUGGUAGAGCACUGCGUUCGGGACGCAGGGGCCGGAGGUUCAAAUCCUCUCACCCCGACCA
rnacentral:tRNA from 1 species